UGAACGCUGGCGGUAGGCCUAACACAUGCAAGUCGAACGGCAGCACAGUAAGAGCUUGCUCUUACGGGUGGCGAGUGGCGGACGGGUGAGGAAUACAUCGGAAUCUACUUUUUCGUGGGGGAUAACGUAGGGAAACUUACGCUACUACCGCAUACGACCUACGGGUGAAAGCAGGGGAUCUUCGGACCUUUCGCGAUUGAAUGAGCCGAUGUCGGAUUAGCUAGUUGGCGGGGUAAAGGCCCACCAAGGCGACGAUCCGUAGCUGGUCUGAGAGGAUGAUCAGCCACACUGGAACUGAGACACGGUCCAGACUCCUACGGGAGGCAGCAGUGGGGAAUAUUGGACAAUGGGCGCAAGCCUGAUCCAGCCAUACCGCGUGGGUGAAGAAGGCCUUCGGGUUGUAAAGCCCUUUUGUUGGGAAAGAAAAGCAGCAGGUUAAUACCCCGCUGUUCUGACGGUACCCAAAGAAUAAGCACCGGCUAACUUCGUG
rnacentral:rRNA from 1 species